rnacentral:tRNA from 1 species
UUGCUGAUAGCUAAGCUAGUAAAGAAUCUGCCUGCAAUGCAGGAGACCCUGGUUCGAUUCCUGGGUAGGGAA